rnacentral:ncRNA from 1 species
AUUCUAUAGGGGGGUGCAAGCUUUAAAUGCAAUUUAAGUACUAAUUUAUUUUAAUAUGCUUUUAUGUAAAUUGUGCAUUACUGCUAGCCAACAUGUAUAUUAUAUA